rnacentral:rRNA from 1 species
GACGAACGCUGGCGGCGUGCCUAAUACAUGCAAGUCGAACGCUUCUUUCCUCCCGUGUGCUUGCACUCAAUUGGAAAGAGGGUUGGCGGCCGGUUGAGUAACACGUUGUUACCCUACCCAUCCGUCGGGGAUCACACUCUGAAACCGGUGCUAAUAUCGCAUAACAUUUUAUGCCUCAUGUCAUUAGGGUGAUAGGCGCUUUCGGCUUUCGCUCAUGGCUGGAUCCGCGGUGCAUGCGAUAGUUGGUGAUUUAACGGCUCACCAAGGCCACGAUGCAUAGACGAACUGAGGGAGUGAUAGGCGACACGGGGACUGAGACAGGGCCAAGACGACUACGAGAGGCAGCAGAAGGGAAACGUCGGCAAUGGAGGAAAGUCUGACCGAGCAACGCCGAGUGAGAGAAGAAGGUGUUCGGAGCGUAAAAAUCGGUUGGUAGAGAAGAACAAGGACGUCAGGAACCGAAGGGCGCGUGACGGUAUUUAACCAGAAAGCCACGGCUAACUACGUG